rnacentral:tRNA from 1 species
UCCCAGGUGGUUUAGAUGGUAAAGAAUCUGCCUGCAAUGCAGGAGACCCGGGUUUAAUCCCCAGAUUGGGAA